rnacentral:lncRNA from 1 species
GACAAGCAUUGGAUGAUACUUCAACCACUGGAUUUUACAUUUUUUCUGUACAAUUUUAGAGUUCAUCAUAUUGAUUAGUUUGUUAUUAAAGAAACUUCUGAUUAAAAACUUUUGAGUGACCAUGCAGAGGAUUUUUAUAUGAACCCCUCUGUCGAUAUCAGCACAACCAACAGUGCUUUAAUCUCUCCUGACUUCAUCUAUUAGGUAUGAUUAUUUUCAUUGUGGAUAAUAUGCGUAGGUCGGUCUAUGCCAAGUGUCAACUCUGUAUUCAUCAUGGAUCAACUAACUUUUGAUGUUUAGGACUUUUCAUGGUAUAUUAUUUGUGGUCGAUUCAGUACUCACUAAUAAAAAGAGCACAGAGUGCAGAAAAGUUGCUGGAGUAGAAAUAAAGCAUAUGAAAUACAAAAUUCUUGAGAAUAAUGAUUUUUAGAAAGCAAAUGGAGAUAUCCAUUAGUGCAGGUUGGAUGAAAUGGAUGUGUGCUUGGGUGGACUGAUCAUUGUAGUCAUCUAAAGUCGAGCGAUUUUGCACAUAGUAGGACUGACGGUGUUAUCUGAAUU